UCUAAUAUGGCAGAUUAGUGCCAUGGAUUUAAGCUCCAUACAUAAAGAUUUCUCUUUUAUUAGAA
rnacentral:tRNA from 1 species